rnacentral:rRNA from 1 species
AUGUUGAUUGACAGAACUUGCUGGAAAGACAAGGAUUUUCCGAAGUCAAAGAAAAAUGACGAAGCAGAGUCUCAAGGCAGCAUUGAUAUGUUCAAGCUCUGCAACUUGAAGCCAGCUUUGCCAACCACCUUUCCCGUGCCAAAUUUCAGCGACAAAGAUAUGUGUGAGAAGAUCAACUUUGCCAUUGACAAGAGCCUGUUCUUAUCAAGUGAUGCUGAAAAGAAUCAAAUUGACAUGGAGGAAGCAGGAAAGGGUCUUGACUGGGUUCAUUCAAAGGAAAAAUACAAGGAAUAUUUAAAGCAGCUCCCAGACCUAAGCUCCAGCAAGAGCAAGGCAGCAUCCAUGGCAAACCCUCACAUGGUCCAGAAGCUAAAGCAGUUUCAAUGA